UCAACAGUAUGAUACACCAUGUACAGUAGCAUUGGUUUAUAUAUCUAAAGAAGGUUUGCUUUAACGAAUUUUACAUUUGAACAUGUGCUACUUGUAUUUAAAAACAACACAGCAAUGGAAACGUAAGACCUAUGUCAAGUGUCAAUAUUCGUCAUUAACCAUGUUUUUUGUUGUGGCCCUUCCUUGCUCUUGGUUGUAGGUUCUUGGACAAUGACACGGUUGUAGACUGCACAUUGCUGGGUGGUGGCAAUGUGUGCAUCGGCGCAUGGCCGGGAAGUCCAUCGCCCACUCUUGAGUUGCGUGUGUCAGCCUCAAAUUCCUUUGGCGUCACAAAUUCAUCCGUUCAGCUCCAAUUAAAAACCAUCCUGAGACCUGAGCAUCCAGUGGUACUGCAGAGCUGCCCAUCAGGUCUGUCACCAGGUCCAUCCAGACCUUCAGUGUCCGUGCGCUGGGCUUCACCAGCCUCCUGGCGACUGCCAGAGGUUUUCCCCCUGCAAUAUCGACUCAGGUUCAACAUCACCCAUGUGGUGGAAGUCUCGGGCUAUAACACGUACAGCUACACCUUGACUGGUGUGGCACCAGGCAUCCAAUAUGCUAUCCAAGUGGCAGCAAAGGAUGCUGCCAACAAUGGGGAGUGGAGCGAAUGGAGCAAACUCAUCACCCUCCCAUAUAACCAGGCCACUUCAGUUUCUGCAUUACCAUUCAUCAUCUUGGCGUUUGUGGCGAGUCUUUUGGGACUGGAGCUCUGCUGAGCCAAACCAAACUGGCCCUUCGAGUAUGCGAGGUGUACCGCACGAAUGCCACCAAGGACAUCCCCUUGCCCAUCCAGGAAGGUGGCGACUUUGGCCCUGGAUAUUAAUUCACCGAGGCUACCCGUUUAAUUCUACAACACGCACGCACGCACACAAAGGCGUGCCCACUGCAUGCACAAAAGCUCUCGCCCUUAUUCAUAUCAUGAUUGAAUAUCUGUUGCCAGAACAAUUUACUGUGUGGGGAAACACACAUGCAAUGGAGUUGAUGGAUCAUGUAUUGAAUCACCAUGUAAACAACACCCACUUGCAAGCUGCCAGAGGGAGAUGUGACAACUGUCUGACCUAUACGCAGUUUGAUUACCAUAGUCUACCCUCACAUGCACAGGCUUUCUGCAGGUACUCGUUAUCUGAGUUUCAAAGAUAGACAAAAAAUGCAAAACCUAUACUUUCCAAGCAGAACCUUCACGAAAAAAAAUCUCUUAACAUUUACACUCCAAUGAUGACUGCUCUUAUGCCAUCUGGCAUUUGUAAAAAUGUGUUUGGUUAUAUCUAAGAAGGUUCUUAGAAGCUGUACUGUGUAAUGACAGAUCCAUAUGAAAUACCGAAACACCAUACUAAUAUUCAAGAUGUAAAUACUAUUUUGUACCAUGGUCUAAUAUGAACAAAAGUAACGCUGCAGGUACUUGUACAUUUUUUUUACUUGACUGUGAUGAAAGUGGAACGAGAAUGCUACAUGGUGCCACUACUCUUAUGAUACAGACAAACACUAUUCCUGGCUGUGCAUCUGAAUAAUUACAUAGUCGAUGCAUUAUCAAUGGUUGCAACAUUUCUG